UUCCUACGGGGGGCAGCAGUAGGGAAUUUUCGGCAAUGGGCGAAAGCCUGACCGAGCAACGCCGCGUGAACGAAGAAGGUCUUCGCAUUGUAAAGUUCUGUUAUAGAGGAAGAAUGGUGUACGUAGGAAAUGGCGUACAAAUGACGGUACUCUGUGAGGAAGCCACGGCUAACUACGUGCCAGCAGCCGCGGUAAUACGUAGGUGGCGAGCGUUAUCCGGAAUGAUUGGGCGUAAAGGGUGCGUAGGCGGCCUGCUAAGUCUGGAGUGAAAGGUACCGGCUCAACCGGUACAGGCUCUGGAAACU
rnacentral:rRNA from 1 species